GAUGAACGCUAGCUACAGGCUUAACACAUGCAAGUCGCGGGGCAGCAUGGGGGUUGCUUGCAAUCCCCGAUGGCGACCGGCGCACGGGUGAGUAACGCGUAUCAAACCUGCCCUUCACCACGGGAUAACCCGGCGAAAGUCGGACUAAUACCGUAUGUUGUCCAUUGACGGCAUCCGAUUUGGACGAAAGGUUUGGCGGUGAAGGAUGGGGAUGCGUCCGAUUAGCUGGACGGCGGGGUGACGGCCCACCGUGGCGACGAUCGGUAGGGGUUCUGAGAGGAAGGUCCCCCACACUGGAACUGAGACACGGUCCAGACUCCUACGGGAGGCAGCAGUGAGGAAUAUUGGUCAAUGGGCGUAAGCCUGAACCAGCCAAGUAGCGUGCAGGAUGACGGCCCUAUGGGUUGUAAACUGCUUUUAUGCGGGGAUAAAGUGGCCCACGUGUGGGUUUUUGCAGGUACCGCAUGAAUAAGGACCGGCUAAUUCCGUG
rnacentral:rRNA from 1 species